rnacentral:rRNA from 1 species
AUUGAACGCUGGCGGCAGGCCUAACACAUGCAAGUCGAGCGAGCGGCGGACGGGUGAGUAAUGUCUGGGAAACUGCCUGAUGGAGGGGGAUAACUACUGGAAACGGUAGCUAUUACCGCAUACCACAGAAGGUGCCCAGAUGGGUUUAGCUAGUGGUUGGGGUAACGGCUCACCUAGGCGCCGAUCCCUAGCUGGUCUGAGAGACUGACCAGCCACACUGGAACUGAGACACGGUCCAGACUCCUACGGGAGGCAGCAGUGGGGAAUAUUGCACAAGGGGCGCAAGCCUGAUACAGCCAUGCCGCGUGUGUGAAGAAGGCCUUCGGGUUGUAAAGCACUUUCAGCGGGGAGGCGUUACCCGCAGAAGAAGCACCGGCUAACUCCGUGCCAGCAGCCGCGGUAAUAC